UACGUAGGGUGCAAGCGUUGUCCGGAAUUAUUGGGCGUAAAGGGUGCGUAGGUGGCGGGGUAAGUUUGAUGUGAAAUCUCCGGGCUCAACCCGGAAAAUGCAUUGAAUACUACUCUGCUGGAGGUUUGGAGGGGGGACUGGAAUUCUUGGUGUAGCAGUGAAAUGCGUAGAUAUCAAGAGGAACACCAGUGGCGAAGGCGAGUCCCUGGACAACACCUGACACUGAGGCACGAAAGCUAGGGGAGCAAACAGG
rnacentral:rRNA from 1 species